CCCUUAGAUGUUCCGGGCCGCACGCGCGCUACACUGAGCCCUUCAUCGAGUUUACAACCUUGGCCGGUAGGUCUGGGUAAUCUUCUCAAAGGGGCUCGUGCUGGGGAUAGAUUAUUGUAAUUUUUAAUCUUCAACGAGGAAUUCCUAGUAAACGCAAGUCAACAGCUUGCAUUGAUUACGUCCCUGCCCUUUGUACACACCGCCCGUCGCUACUACCGAUUGAAUGGCUUAGUGAGCCCGAGGGACUGUUGCACCUAGAGGGUUUUCUCUCCAGGAGCAGCCGGGAACUCGGUCAAACUUGAUCAUUUAGAGGAAGUAAAAGUCGUAACA
rnacentral:rRNA from 1 species